AGGCAGCAGUGGGGGAAUAUUGCACAAUGGGCGCAAGCCUGAUGCAGCCAUGCCGCGUGUAUGAAGAAGGACCUUCGGGUUGUAAAGUACUUUCAGCAGUGAGGAAGGUAUCGUAGUUAAUAGCUGCGGUAUUUGACGUUAGCUGCAGAAGAAGCACCGGCUAACUCCGUGCCAGCAGCCGCGGUAAUACGGAGGGUGCGAGCGUUAAUCGGAAUUACUGGGCGUAAAGCGCAUGCAGGUGGUUUGUUAAGUCAGAUGUGAAAGACCCGGGGCUCAACCUCGGAAUUGCAUUUGAAACUGGCAGACUAGAGUACUGUAGAGGGGGGUAGGAAUUUCAGGUGUAGCGGUGAAAUGCGUAGAGAUCUGAAGGAAUACCGGUGGCGAAGGCGGCCCCCUCGGACAGAUACUGACACUCAGAUGCGAAAGCGUGGGGAGCAAACAGGAUUAGAUACCCUGGUAG
rnacentral:rRNA from 1 species